rnacentral:rRNA from 1 species
CGAACGGCGCACGGGUUCGGCACGUGGCGAUGGCGAACGGUGAUAAUACAUCGGAACUGCCCUGUAUGGGGGAUAACUAUCAAAGUUAGCUAAUACCGCAUACGACCUGAGGGUGAAAGCGGGGGACCGCAAGGCCACGCGCUACAGGAGCGGCCGAUGUCUGAUUAUCUAUUGGUGGGGUAAAGGCCUCACCAAGGCGACGAUCAUAGCUGGUCUGAGAGGACGAUCAGCCACACUGGGACUGAGACACGGCCCAGACUCCUACGGAGGCAGCAUGGGGAAUUUUGGACAAUGGGGGCAACCCUGAUCCACAAUGCCGCGUGUGUGAAGAAAGCCUUCGGGUUGUAAAGCACUUUUGUCCGGAAAGAAAUGGCUCUGGUUAAUACCCGGGGUCGAUGACGGUACCGGAAGAAUAAACACCGGCUAACUACGUGCCAGCAGCCGCGGUAAUACGUAGGGUGCGAGCGUUAAUCGGAAUUACUGGGCGUAAAGCGUGCGCAGGCGGUUUUGUAAGACAGGCGUGAAAUCCCCGAGCUCAACUUGGGAAUGGCGCUUGUGACUGCCAAGGCUAGAGUAUGUCAGAGGGGGGUAGAAUUUCCACCGUGGUAGCCAGUGAAAUGCGUAGAGAUGGUGGAGGAAUACCGGAUGGCGAAAGGCAGCCCCCCUGGGGACGUCACUGACGCUCCAUGCACGAAAGCGUGGGGGAGCAAACAGGGAUUAGAUAACCUGGUAGUCCACGCCCUAAACGAUGUCAACUAGUUGUUGGGGAUUCAUUUCUUCAGUAACGUAGCUAACGCGUGAAGUUGACCGCCUGGGGAGUACGGUCGCAAGAUUAAAACUCAAAGGAAUUGACGGGGACCCGCACAAGCGGUGGAUGAUGUGGAUUAAUUCGAUGCAACGCGAAAAACCUUACCUACCCUUGACAUGCCACUAACGAAGCAGAGAUGCAUUAGGUGCCCGAAAGGGAAAGUGGACACAGGUGCUGCAUGGCUGUCGUCAGCUCGUGUCGUGAGAUGUUGGGUUAAGUCCCGCAACGAGCGCAACCCUUGUCUCUAGUUGCUACGAAAGGGCACUCUAGAGAGACUGCCGGUGACAAACCGGAGGAAGGUGGGGAUGACGUCAAGUCCUCAUGGCCCUUAUGGGUAGGGCUUCACACGUCAUACAAUGGUGCGUACAGAGGGUUGCCAACCCGCGAGGGGGAGCUAAUCCCAGAAAACGCAUCGUAGUCCGGAUCGUAGUCUGCAACUCGACUACGUGAAGCUGGAAUCGCUAGUAAUCGCGGAUCAGCAUGCCGCGGUGAAUACGUUCCCGGGUCUUGUACACACCGCCCGUCACACCAUGGGAGUGGGUUUUGCCAAAGUAGUUAGCCUAACCGCAGAGAGGGCGCAU